AUUGAACGCUGGCGGCAGGCCUAACACAUGCAAGUCGAGCGGAGCGGCGGACGGGUGAGUAAUACCCAGGAAUCUGCCUGGUAGUGGGGGAUAACGUCCGGAACCGGGCGCUAAUACCGCAUACUAUCAGAUGAGCCUAGGUCGGAUUAGCUAGUUGGUGGGGUAAAGGUCUACCAAGGCGACGAUCCUUAACUGGUCGGAGAGGAUGAUCAGUCACACUGGAACUGAGACACGGUCCAGACUACUACGGUAGGCAGCAGUGGGGAAUAUUGGACAAUGGGCGAAAGCCUGAUGCAGCCAUGCCGCGUGUGUGAAGAAGGUCUUCGGGUUGUAAAGCACUUUAAGUUGGGAGGCGUUACCCACAGAAUAAGCACCGGCUAACUACGUGCCAGCAGCCGCGGUAAUUC
rnacentral:rRNA from 1 species